GUUAGUGUAGCUUAAAUAAAGCAAAGCACUGAAAAUGCUUAGAUGUGUGUAAGUGUGUGUGUGUGUGUGUGUGUGUGUGUGUGUGUGUUUGUAUACACACACACUCCAUAAACA
rnacentral:tRNA from 1 species